rnacentral:rRNA from 1 species
GUAGUCAUAUGCUUGUCUCGCAGAUUAAGCCAUGCAUGUCUAAGUGUAAAUAUUUUACAGUGAAACUGCGGAUGGCUCAUUACAACAGUUAUGGUUUGCUUGGAGCACUUCCCUACGGAUAUCCGUGGAAAUCCUACAGUUAAUACGUAUCACUUCUUUGAAGUGUUGCAUAUUGCUGUGAACUUUCGGCGAAGGCAACUUCGUCUCCAAUGAACACUUGUAUGCACGAAUCGUAUAUCUAUACGAAAGUCCAUCAAAGUUUCUGACCCAUCAGGUUCCGACGGUAAGGUAUUGGCUUACCGUGCCGAUAACGGGUAACGGGGGAUUAGGGUUCGAUCCCGGAGAGGGAGCUUGAGAAAUGGCUACCACAUCUAAGGAAGGCAGCAGGCGCGCAAAUUACCUAUCCCUGACACAGGGAGGUAGUAAACAGAAAUAAUGACGCAUGAUUCUAAUCGUGCGAUCGGAAUGAUUGGCUUUUAAACGAAGUCAAGAAAUCAAUUGGAGGAAAAGUCUGGUGCCAGCACCCGCGGUAAUACCAGCUCCAAUAGCGUAUAUUAUUGAUGUUGCAGUUGAAACGUUCGUAGUCGAACCUUAUCUGCUUAGGUAUUGUGGCAUCGAUGAUGUUGCUAUACUUUCAGCAGAGAUUGUGCAAAAGGCGUUGCGUGUUUCACGUAAUGGCUUUUGCAUCUUACUUUGAGUGAAUCGGCGUGUUCCACGCAGGCAUGUGCCUUGAACGAUUUACCAUAGCAUAAUCAGAGUAUGAGAAUACUCCCUUGUUUGUUCGGGGGUGUUUUCGAUACUGAUAAGAACGGUUGAGGGCAUUCGUAUUCAGCUGCCAGAGGUGAAAUUCUUUGAUUAGUUGAGGACGAACUAUUGCGAAAGCAUCUGCCAAGGACGUUUCUUUUGAUCAAGAACGAAAGUUGGGUGAUCGAAGAUGAUUAGAUACCGUUGUAGUCCUAACCAUAAACUUUACUAUCCAAGAAUUGGAUUGGUGACUUUACGCCUCUCCAGUACUUUCUGAGAAAUCAUAAGUCUUUGAGUUCUGGGGGGAGUAUAGUUGCAAGGCCGAAACUUAAAGGAAUUGACGGAAG